CUAAGCAUAUCAAUAAGCGGAGGAAAAGAAACCAACAGGGAUUGCCCCAGUAACGGCGAGUGAAGCGGCAACAGCUCAAAUUUGAAAUCUGGCCCCAUGCCGGGGUCCGAGUUGUACUUUGCAGAGGGCGCUUUGGCGUCGGCAGCAGUCUAAGUUCCUUGGAACAGGACGUCACAGAGGGUGAGAAUCCCGUACGUGAUUGCGUGCCUUCGCCGUGUAAAGCCCCUUCGACGAGUCGUGUUGUUUGGGAAUGCAGCACUAAAUGGGAGGUAAAUUUCUUCUAAAGCUAAAUACUGGCCAGAGACCGAUAGCGCACAAGUAGAGUGAUCGAAAGAUGAAAAGCACUUUGGAAAGAGAGUCAAACAGCACGUGAAAUUGUUGAAAGGGAAGCGCUUGCAGCCAGACUUGCGUGCGGUUGCUCAUCCGGGCUCUUGCCCGGUGCACUCUUCCGCAGGCAGGCCAGCAUCAGUUUGGGCGGCUGGAGAAAGGCCUCUGUCAUGUACCUUCCCUCGGGAAGGCCUUAUAGGGGAGGCGUAAUGCAGCCAGCCUGAACUGAGGUCCGCGCAUCUGCUAGGAUGCUGGCGUAAUGGCUGUAAGCGGCCCGUCUUGAAACACGGACCAAGGAGUCUAACAUCUAUGCGAGUGUUUGGGUGUCAAGCCCGAGCGCGCAAUGAAAGUGAACGGAGGUGGGAACCUUUUGGGUGCACCAUCGACCGAUCCUGAUGUCUUCGGAUGGAUUUGAGUAAGAGCAUAGCUGUUGGGACCCGAAAGAUGGUGAACUAUGCUUGAAUAGGGUGAAGCCAGAGGAAACUCUGGUGGAGGCUCGCAGCGGUUCUGACGUGCAAAUCGAUCGUCAAAUUUGGGCAUAGGGGCGAAAGACUAAU
rnacentral:rRNA from 1 species